rnacentral:rRNA from 1 species
GAUGAACGCUAGCGGCAGGCUUAACACAUGCAAGUCGAGGGGUAGAGUUAGCUUGCUAACUUGAGACCGGCGCACGGGUGCGUAACGCGUAUGCAAUCUACCUUGUACAGAGGGAUAGCCCAGAGAAAUUUGGAUUAAUACCUCAUAGUAUCUUCGGAAGGCAUCUUCUGAUUAUUAAAGUUCCAACGGUACAAGAUGAGCAUGCGUCCCAUUAGCUAGAUGGUAAGGUAACGGCUUACCAUGGCAACGAUGGGUAGGGGUCCUGAGAGGGAGAUACCCCACACUGGUACUGAGACACGGACCAGACUCCUACUGGAGGCAGCAGUGAGGAAUAUUGGACAAUGGGCGCAAGCCUGAUCCAGCCAUGCCGCGUGCAGGAUGACGGUCCUAUGGAUUGUAAACUGCUUUUGUACAGGAAGAAACACUGGUUCGUGAACCAGCUUGACGGUACUGUAAGAAUAAGGAUCGGCUAACUCCGUGCCAGCCGCCGCCGUAACAC